rnacentral:rRNA from 1 species
UACGUAGGUGGCAAGCGUUGUCCGGAUUUACUGGGCGUAAAGAGCGCGCAGGCGGUCGUUCAAGUCGCGUGUGAAAGCCCCCGGCUCAACUGGGGAGGGUCACGCGAUACUGAUCGACUCGAAGGCAGGAGAGGGAAGUGGAAUUCCCGGUGUAGUGGUGAAAUGCGUAGAUAAUCGGGAGGAACACCAGUGGCGAAGGCGGCAUCCUGGACCGACAUUGACGCUGAACGGCGAAAGCUA